CCUACGGGAGGCAGCAGUCGGGAAUUUUGGGCAAUGGGCGAAAGCCUGACCCAGCAACGCCGCGUGAAGGAUGAAAUCCCUCGGGAUGUAAACUUCGCAAGAACGGGAAGAAUAAGUAGGGGAUAAUACCCCCUAUGAUGACGGUACCGUUUGUAAGCUCCGGCUAACUCCGUGCCAGCAGCCGCGGUAAUACGGGGGGAGCAAGCGUUGUUCGGAUUUACUGGGCGUAAAGGGCGCGUAGGCGGCCACCGCAAGUCAGUUGUGAAAUCUCCGAGCUUAACUCGGAAAGGUCAACUGAUACUGCGGGGCUAGAGUGCGGAAGGGGCAACUGGAAUUCUUGGUGUAGCGGUGAAAUGCGUAGAUAUCAAGAGGAACACCUGCGGCGAAGGCGGGUUGCUGGGCCGACACUGACGCUGAGGCGCGAAAGCUAGGGGAGCGAACGGGAUUAGAUACCCCGGUAGUCCUAGCCUUAAACGAUGAAUGCUUGGUGUCUGGGGUUAUAUAGUCCCCGGGUGCCGUCGCUAACGCUUUAAGCAUUCCGCCUGGGGAGUACGGUCGCAAGACUGAAACUCAAAGGAAUUGACGG
rnacentral:rRNA from 1 species